GCCGGGCGUGGUGGCGUGGGCCUGUAAUCCCAGCUACUAAGGAGGCUGAGGCAGGAGAAUCACUUGAACCCAGAAGGUGGAGGUUGCAGUGAGCCGAGAUUGCGCCGUUGCACUCCAGCCUGGGCAACGAGAGUGAAACUCAGUCUCAAAAAUAAAUAAAUAAAAUUAAGUCUUAUUUAUUUAUUUGAGACAGAGUGUUGCUGUGUCGCCCAGGCUCUCAGCUCACUGCAACCUCCGCCUCCCUGGCUCAAGCAAUUAGCCUGCCUCA
rnacentral:sRNA from 1 species